rnacentral:misc_RNA from 1 species
CUAGCAAACGCUGCAAGCUCAGAUUUUAGUUUCACAACAACAAUAUCUGAGACCUCCUGUGAUGCUAAUCUAUGAAGAGCUUCUCUUGGAGUACUCGAAGAGCCAUCUGUACUUGCCUCGAGAGCGGAACACCCCAACCAUUCCGACUGUUGAAUUUCGUCAGAAACUGUUGUAGAGACGUCAAUACUGGGCUUCCGCAGAAUUAACGCAUCAUUUGGAGACAAAGGGAAGUUUAUGUGAUCCUGAUUGCCAAUGUUGUUUCUCAUUUUGAUUUGCCGAGGCGUAUCAAGCCCUGAGCUGCUUCCAGAACUGGACAUGGUAAUAUCAGAUUCACCUGAUGCCCGGCGGAUGCCAUUCAGUUCACCAUUGUGCAAAAUAGGUUUGUUGAUCAGACCAUCCUCUGUAGAAUUUCCCUCAAGGCUAGCUUCUACGUCAUCAUUGCUUAAUUGUGUCCUCAAGAUCAUAUUAUCGGAAUUUGGUAUUGCAUCUUCAAUCUCUUCAACUCUUUGAUCAGAAG